rnacentral:rRNA from 1 species
AGCCUGACGGAGCACCGCCGCGUGAGUGAAGAAGGUCUUCGGAUCGUAAAGCUCUGUUGAUGGGGACGAACGUGCGAAGGGUGAAUAAUCCUUUGCAAUGACGGUACCUAUCGAGGAAGCCACGGCUAACCACGUGCCAGCAGCCGCGGUAAUACGUAGGUGGCGAGCGUUGUCCGGAAUCAUUGGGCGUAAAGGGAGCGCAGGCGGGCAUGUAAGUCUUUCUUAAAAGUUCGGGGCUCAACCCCGUGAUGGGAAAGAAACUACAUGUCUUGAGUACAGGAGAGGAAAGCGGAAUUCCCAGUGUAGCGGUGAAAUGCGUAGAUAUUGGGAGGAACACCAGUGGCGAAGGCGGCUUUCUGGACUGCAACUGACGCUGAGGCUCGAAAGCCAGGGGAGCGAACGGGAUUAGAUACCCCGGUAGUCCUGGCCGUAAACGAUGGAUACUAGGUGUGGGAGGUAUCGACCCCUACCGUGCCGGAGUUAACGCAAUAAGUAUCCCGCCUGGGGAGUACGGUCGCAAGACUGAAACUCAAAGGAAUUGACGGGGGACCCGCACAAGCGGUGGAGUAUGUGGUGUA